CUGCCAAGUGGGUGAGACAGAGAGCUCAAGCGUGGCCCUGAGGCCUCUCGCUCUCGGGGGUGGGGGGGGGCCGGGGAUGAGAUGGGCAGAGGUUUUCUGAGGUGAUGAAAGGAAGGUAAGAGGAGGGGGAGGGUUCUUUUGGAGGAUACCGGGCUCCCUUUUGGACGUGUCGGUUUUGAGAAGCCUUUGGACAUCCCCGAGAGGUGCGUCCAGCAGACAGUUAGAGAAAGCAGCGUGGAGUCAGGGGCAGGGUGACGUCAGUCGUACGCACUCAGAAGCCCUGGGCAUCCGGGGUGUCGAAUCGAAUCGUAGGAGAGCGCAUGAGCUUGCUCUGAGACCCGAGGGGUUCCUGUUCCCUGAAGACCAUCCUUGCCUUCGUGAACAGAACUCUUGGAGAAGUGGUCGAGAGGAGAAUCCGCAGAGGAAAGGGAGACAGAGGGGUCUGAGGUUAGGAAGGGCACCUGGGGAGGGGGCCAUCCCCCAGAGAAAGAGGGUGGAGAGAACUUGCAGAGACUGAAGGCGUGGGCAGCAUUCCUCAGACACCACAGAGAGUUUAGGAAGCGAAGGAACCGAAGGGCGUGCCCUGGCCUCUUGCUAGGACGGGACGGCGACGAGAUUUGGGGAGUCUUUCGAGGAGCCGGUGAGAGACGAGGCGAUGACUGGAUGGCUGACGAGGAGUCGAGGUCUUUUGGCAGCAGCUUAGCCGUGAAAGAGGCCGCAGAGCACCCGAGGGCGGUUUCCCAGGCAGUGGAAAGAGGAGGAGGACCGAGCCGGGGGAAAGCAAGCUUUCCUCGUGAAGUUUGGAUGCCCGCUGCACGUUGGUGCCCUUCCCCUUUCUUCCUACUGUCCCGGGAGUGGGCGCCCUCGCGCGCUUUCUGAUGCUGCAGCACUAAGGCAAGUGAGGUUCCCGCUCCCCGAGGGAAAGCUCAAUAAACGCCCCCCCCCCCGCCCCCACCCUUCCCACCCCCCACUCUUCCCACACCCCCAGCCCCCACCCGCCCGCAACCCCCCACCUCCCAGACCCAACCCCACCCCCCCACCCCACGCCCCCCAGCUCCUCCCAGACGGUGACAGCGUGACAAACAGAAUCGGAAGCGUCCUUGGCCCACAGCCUGCGAUCCCACCCGUGCCGCGCCUGCUCUCCAGAGAAGUGACGUCCGUCCGCUUUAAGGCAGUGUCUUCCUGGCGGGUGCUCCGGGACGCUUCCUGGGCUGAGCGGGGAGCUGUCGUGGUGGAGAAGCUCCCUGAGACUCAGCUUCUAGAAAGUUCACGAAAAGCUCCGAGAAGGAACUCUUGA
rnacentral:lncRNA from 1 species